UGAGGUAUAGCCUCGUGAUAGACCGCCGGAGGUAGAGCACUGGAUGGACUAGGGCCCUCACCAGGGUACCAAACCCAACCAAACUGCGAAUACCGGCGAGUUGUUUCACGGGAGUCAGACAGCGGGAGCUAACUUUCGUUGUCGAGAGGGAAAGAGCCCAGACUACCGACUAAGGUCCCUAAACCAAGCUAAGUGGCAAAGGAUGUGGAGAUUCAAAAACAACCAGGAGGUUGGCUUAGAAGCAGCCACCCUUUAAAGAAAGCGUAACAGCUCACUGGUCGAGCGAGCCUGCACCGAAAAUAUAACGGGGCUCAAGUCAUGCGCCGAAGCUAUGGGAUUUAUAUUUAUAUAAAUCGGUAGGGGAGCGUUCCCUGUGCGGCGAAGCUGAAUCGAGAGGGUCAGUGGAGCGCAGGGAAGUGAGGAUGUUGGCAUAAGUAACGAAAAUGCGAGCGAGAAACUCGCACGCCGAAAGCCCAAGGUUUCCCGGGCCAUGUUAUUCAGCCCGGGGUUAGUCGGCACCUAAGACGAGGCCGAAAGGCGUAGUCGAUGGAAAACCGGUUCAUAUUCCGGUACUUGCAUGUGCGCGUGAUGGAGGGACGCAGGAGGAUAGCCCGGCCAAGUGAUGGAUAUCUUGGUUCAAGGCCGUAGGCGGAAGUCUCAGGUAAAUCCGGGACUUCUAUAACGCCGAGAGUCGAUGACGAGAGGCUUUGCUUCGCAAAGCGGUCGAUUCCACACUGCCAAGAAAAGCUUCUAAGCAUAGCACAGGCAAACCGUACCCCAAACCGACACAGGUGGGCGGGUAGAGAAUACCAAGGCGCUUGAGGGAAAUCAUGUUAAGGAACUCUGCAAAAUAACUCCGUAACUUCGGAAGAAGGAGUGCCUGCGGUGGUGAAGGGACUUGCUCCCUGAGCUGCUGCGGGCCGCAGUGACCAGGCCCAGCCGACUGUUUAGCAAAAACACAGCACUCUGCUAAAUCGCAAGAUGAUGUAUAGGGUGUGACGCCUGCCCGGUGCCGGAAGGUUAAUGGGAGGGGUUAGUUCUUCGGAACGAAGCUCCGAACUGAAGCCCCGGUAAACGGCGGCCGUAACUAUAACGGUCCUAAGGUAGCGAAAUUCCUUGUCGGGUAAGUUCCGACCUGCACGAAUGGCGUAACGAUCUGGGCGCUGUCUCAAUGUGAUUCUCAGUGAAAUUGAAAUGGCGGUGAAGAUACCGUCAACCCGCGGCAAGACGGAAAGACCCCGUGCACCUUUACUGCAGCUUGGCAGUGAACUUGGGAAAGAUUUGUGUAGGAUAGGUGGGAGGCUAUGAAGGGGGGGCGCUAGUCCCUCUGGAGCCAUCCUUGAAAUACCACCCUGAUUUUUUCUGUGUUCUAACUUAGUCCCGUUAUCCGGGACAAGGACCCUGCCUGGUGGGCAGUUUGACUGGGGCGGUCGCCUCCUAAAGAGUAACGGAGGCGCGCAAUGGUUCCCUCAGCCGGUUUGGAAAUCCGGCGCAGAGUGCAAAGGCACAAGGGAG
rnacentral:rRNA from 1 species